UGGAAUUGUGGAGAUUGAAUGAGUACUUAGCUCAGGAGUGACAUGCUUGAGGAAGAGUGAUGAAUAAUACUGAGGAUGAUUCAACGUCUCUUGGUUUUACUUCUGCACCACCCAAACAGAAAAUAAUUAGACAAGAACAUUUCUUUUUCUAUAUCAGUGUCAUAACAUGUAUUAUUACAGUGCGGUGUAACCACAUGUCAGAAGAGAAUGUGUAGCUCAAAACACUGAACUAGGUGGAGAGGCCGAGGCCUUAAUUCUCCAAGAGACUGGGACCUGUGCUGGGUUCUAGCGCCUGUUCAGCGUCAGAAUCAUCAGCUGGCUGUGAGCCUACGUGAAUUUUUCUCCACUCAAUCUCAUCAUCCUUCAGACAGGCGGAGAGAGCGGGAUCCAUCUAUGAGAUUUCUCUGCUGAGAAAUCUCCUCCCUCCCUCCAAUGAAGCAACAGCAGGUCAUAUCUGAAUGCAGAAGCAUGGCCUUGUGCUGGGAAAACACAUCCUGGCUGUAGAGCUCUCAGGCUUCUAGAGUCAAAGCCAAGGGUUCAAAUCCUCUCUGUCUUACUCAGAAGCCACAUGGUCCUGAGACAGUGAAGUAACUCUGUGAACCUCAGUUUACCAAUCUGUAAGAUGGGGAUCAUAAUGUAAAAGAUGGCAUUAAAACUUACAUUGGGAAAAAGCA